rnacentral:rRNA from 1 species
GACGAACGCUGGCGGCGUGCUUAACACAUACAAGUCGAACGGAAAGGCCCUGCUUUUGUGGGGUGCUCGAGUGGCGAACGGGUGAGUAACACGUGAGUAACCUGCCCUUGACUUUGGGAUAACUUCAGGAAACUGGGGCUAAUACCGGAUAGGAGCUCCUGCUGCAUGGUGGGGGUUGGAAAGUUUCGGCGGUUGGGGAUGGACUCGCGGCUUAUCAGCUUGUUGGUGGGGUAGUGGCUUACCAAGGCUUUGACGGGUAGCCGGCCUGAGAGGGUGACCGGCCACAUUGGGACUGAGAUACGGCCCAGACUCCUACGGGAGGCAGCAGUGGGGAAUAUUGCACAAUGGGCGGAAGCCUGAUGCAGCAACGCCGCGUGCGGGAUGACGGCCUUCGGGUUGUAAACCGCUUUCGCCUGUGACGAAGCGUGAGUGACGGUAAUGGGUAAAGAAGCACCAGCUAACUACGUG